ensembl:lncRNA
UUCUUCUCUGCAUGCUUCAGUCUGGGGCUGACUCGCAUACCUUGAAUCUCCAAAAAUUCAAAACCAACCGACCUCUGAAGGGCUCAGUCCAACCAUAAUCCCCGUCAGGAAACGCAGCUUUGGUACUGGUUGUUUUUUGGUCAUUUUACCGUGUAUACAGAAGGUAAUGGCCGGCCGUAUGGUGACAGGAAUCCGUCGCAAUUACAAAUGGCUCUUGCUGUGAGUCGAAGGCCGAAAUCUGAUUUUGAAUCUUUAAUUGUUAUGCGAGAUGUUCCCCUCCCUCUACUCACUCCUCUUGCCUCAUAGGUGUAUAUUGGAAUCUGUCAAAAGUAUGUUUCAAUCCAAGAACGUUGACCCACUGAAGUGAGCUGAUGCAAAACGACAAGUGUGUGUGUGUUCUACCAAGUUGUGCCCAUGUAAGAGGUCGAGUUUCCGUUUUAAAGACAAAUGAACCGUUAUCUCUUAAGUCACUGACUAUCUGCUCACGGCGGCGGACGCAGAUGCACGUGGGAAAGCUCGCUGUAUUCUGAUCGUGUUCAUUGGCCUGCCUUGUUAUCACCUUUUUAACUGUACUACGUGUUUCUCAGAACCUGGUUUGUGGUUCUCAGCAACCUUUAAAAUGUAUCAACAUGGAGAUAAUAUCGGAUGCCAAGGAAGAAGUCUUCAUGUCCAAAAAUUUUAAGGAUCAACAAUCCGUGAAUGGUACAUCCUGUGUUCACUUUAUGACGGCUCUGACAUUUGUCGCCUUUUCCAGGAAGAACACACACAUUUGCAGAAAGUAAUGUGUUUUAUGCAUCAAGCAAACAUAUGAACUGAGCAGCGUACGACGUCUAAACAAAAAGAUACUGAAAAUAAUAAAGCUGAUAUUUGUUAUUGGAAUGGCCUGUAUCCUGGAAAUAUGGUGAAUAAUUACAAUAAGCUCUUUAGAUACUGUAAAAUGCUUUCAGCGUUAAGUCAUUUGCUCACCGGUGUACCUGCGGUACCUCGAUGGCUGCGUGCCAACACGCUUCAGCAAUGUGCUUUGUCAGCUCUUGCUUUUUCCCCCCUUUUAGUCUGAUCAGAUUAUAUGGAAAAUCACGAUUAACACAUUUGAAUGGGUCAUCAAUCCGAACCGAUUGAUCGAUUCCACUUCAGCUUUCAAAAUUUGUUUGUCUAAAUUGGGUCACUUUGACUUUGGGCCAAUGAGAGCGAGACUGGGACGGGACGUGUCCGGAUGGGCCUGGUGACGCUCCAUGGCUCUGUUUGAGUAGAAUAGUGGAUGAUACAGAUGUCUGGGAACAAGUAUGAAGCUCUUGGUGAGGUCACCCGCCCACUCCCACGUCUGAAAGGAUUUCCUGCGGAAGGAUAAGUGUGUAACUCCUGUAAAAUCGGGACAAGAACAUAUAAUAACAAUGAGUCCGCUUUCAUUUUCUUGGUCUGAUCCAUUGGUUAUUAUUUUAAUUUCCAAAGUUAUGCUAAUACGAAUGAGUCACAACCUACUUGUGUUUGGAUGACAGUCAAGGCCUUCUGAAUGGCAAUGGGAGAAUAUCCCUUUGUAGAACUAAAUGUGGACAAACAGCCUUCUCCAUAACCAGCCUUCAACUCAGGAACACAACACAGAAAUCACAUUAUUUCCAACUGGUACAUGAAAAAUUGGUCACAGCCGUAAAACUCAAAGUUUCAUGCCCUGUAUUGAAAACAUGUUACAAAAAUAAAUUCAAUUCGAUUUAAAAGCCAUUACACUGAUUAGUCUCAUAAAUCUGCUCCAAAGUCUUUCUCCCUUGAAUGGAUAAAGAUCCGCAUGGGUUUGUUUCCAGCCCCCCAGUAUCCUCUAAACUCUCCACUGGUGUUGGUUUUUCUGAGACUUUGUUGAUGACUCACUUGUAUAAAAUAUUCUUCCAAAAAUGUAAAAGAUUCUGUGAGGCGGACAUUUCCACACUGGUUUUCUUUUUUAAAGUUCCUUAAACAGAGUGUUUGGGAUGAUGGUCCCGUGUGGAUUGCCAACUUUGUGAAGUGUACUCACAUUUACUGGAAAAAUAACAACCCUGAAUACUGCUGCGGUCUGUGUAAUCUUUGAAGACGGGAGUGUGAGGUAAAGCCAAGUGGGCGUCAUGGAAAGGGGGAGGUUGAAAGAGGGGACAUCCUUCUCUUUCUUCUAGGACUGUUCCACUGACCCGUGGCCACAUCUUUUUCUGGCUGUGUUUGUGUUGGCCGUUGGGUAUCCUCCAUGAGGGAUCCUCCAUGCUGGAUCUUCCAUGAGGGAUCCUCCAUGAGGGAUCCUCCAUGCUGGAUCCUCCAUGAGGGAUCCUCCAUGAGGGAUCCUCCGUGAGGGAUCUUCCAUGAGGGAUCCUCCAUGCAGGACCCUCCAUGCAGGACCCUCCAUGCGGGAUCCUGCUGCUGAUGUCCCAUUCCCGCCUGCUGAGGAGUGCAUCACACACUUGCACGUCACACACACAUCCGACAGGAUAUGUGUGUUUCCCCUUACGACACUCCUUCUGGCUCCCAUUAAAAGCACGAAGGGGGAAUGCCGCCUACUCUUGUUCUGACAGAAAGGUUCUGAUCACGGUGACACAAUGAAUAGAAGGUUAAGGUUUCAAUCCUGGGCCCUUUUAAGAAAAAACAAACAGAUCUACAGCCUUUCUCAGACUUUGUUAUUACAUAUUUCAUUGUCAUUUUGAUAUCUUACAGGUGUCCAAGUCGUAUCAUAUGUACAGAUCUACGCGUCUCACCGACUCCUCUUUAGCAUAUUUUUCUUGCUUUUCUGCGGCGUCUUUCUUUGUUGUUUCAGCUGGGCUCAUUAUUCACCCUCGCUAAUGAUUAGACUCAAUAUUUCCUGCUGCGCCAAUAGAACAUGAAACAGCUCUAAAAACCAAAGCCAAUGCAUCAGGAAGUCAAACAUCUGGAGGGAGACAGAUGAGGGGGACAGGGAGAGGAAGGAUUCUGCCAGACGUCUUACUGAUGUGGUACAAUUUUACCUAAUUAGUAACUUCUGUUUCCUCAAGAGCUCCCCCCCCCCACCCCCCUCCAGUGUGUGUGUGAGUGUGUGUGUGUGAGUGAGGGCAUUGUUAUACUCUUUCCUCACGUGGAGUCCAGCCAAGGCCUCAAGCCACGGCCUCGUGUGAGUGUGUGCGGGUUGAUUUUUGCUUUUCAAGGGUUUCUUACACGUGUUUCCCUUCUCACGACUCUGCGUUGAGAACUGAUGCGUCCUAAUGCCUUGUUCAGAUGUACACAUUCAUUCCCCACGUGUAUCCGUUGUGUUUACGGCUUUCCCAUUCACAUCUUUAACAAAAGGAUGUUUCCCUCAGGGGGGGAUCAUCUCUUCGCACAAAAAUAAUUCCAGUUUUUUUUUACAGUGUCCCCCACAACCUUUUUUAUUCAUCCUUUGAUUCCUUCUUUUAGUGUUUUUUACCAGAAUCAUUUCUAAAGUAUCCUCAGCCCCUUAUUAUGCUUUUUUCAAGGUAAAUAUUUUGACUAGCGCUCUAGAUCAGGGUUCAGCUUCCAUUUUAUGUGGAAAGUGCCUUCAAGAUUUACGCCUCAACGAUACAAACAAUGAGUUUUUAAAUGAAUGGGCCCCUCAUUAUAAAGUUGAGUAUUUUUUCAAUGUGAUAUUUGCACCGUUACCAUAGAAUCAAAGUACUAAAAGUCUUUGCUGAACCGUGUGGUUGCCCGACUGAUAACCACAUAAUGCAGAAUUCUAGGUCUGGCUUUUGUUAUAACACACCUCAAGUCAAUUAAAACCAAAUUAUUCAAAGGCGUUCAUUCACAGCUUAGCUUAAAAUCAUUUUUAAAAAGUCACUGAAGCACUCAGGUAUCUGUAAAUGUCAAAUACCUGUGCAGAGCGCACAGUCACACCGGAACACGGCACAAAAGUCGUAACAGAUGGGAAGCAACUAUUUACUCCUUUGAUAUCUGAUACGAGGGAGCUGCUUGUGAUAACAUAACUGUUAGCUGAAGCUGUGGCUGUCCGUCACUUUCUGUGUGUGUGUGCGUGGGCAGGCCGGAGAUACACACUUAAACGCACAAUAUUCUCAUGGGUGAAAACACAGAAAAACUAUUUAUAGAGUUAAAAAUUCAUGGGUGAGGGGGGGGGGGGGGCAUUGGGUGUGCGGUACUUUGUGGAAACAUGAGCUAUGAUUAUUUAGCAUCCUGUUGUAAACCACACACAAACACACACAAACAGCAUACGCACUUUCCUGUUUGUCAGGUGCAGAGGAAGCCAUAGUUCUAAAUAAAACACCUCUUUUUUUUCCACGGGUUAUUUAUGAACAUCGUUUUCAGUUUGAAUAUCAGUGUCACGCGGGUGUGCGUCUCACACCAGAUUUACCCGAGUUUGGGUUAACAACUCUUCUGAAUUCACAUGGAUCAGAACCAAACAUUCAAAUACGUUUAAAUAUAUAUAUUUUUAUUUUACACUUCAAUGCAGGAUGCACUGACUAAACCGUUUGUAUUGCCAGUGGACUGUAAUUUCUUUAUCAGGUUUUCAGCUUCCCAUGAGACAGCGUUUUUCAUCUUUUUGGUAGCAGCACGUCCACACCCUUGAAUAAUGUGAAGACACCUUGUGUGAGAGACUGUUAAUCCACUAAUGUCUUUGCUAAGAAGAGACUGCUGACGAGACAGGAACCCACAGAGCCUGUAAACAGAUGGCCAGAAGACAGCGAUGGUCUCCAGAUUAAGGUUAAAGAGGAUUUCUAGAGGGGUUUUUACAGAGCUUGCACUGUACACUGAUGAUUAACUAUCUUAGACAAUUGAAAUCAAUCAUCGGGUACGAGCUCAAACAAGAAUUCUUCUUCUUUUAAAAGCAUCAUCUCAACAAGAUAGUUAGUAGAUGUGUGACUUUAUCACAAUAAUAUAUUCGUGAUCCUCAGCACACGUGCUCGGUCAGCAGUUGUCAUCGCCGUCAUGCCCAAAGAAAGUGAAGUUGAGCAUAUGAGAAGCAAAAUGAAGCGCUGAGGUCAACGCUCAUGUGACAGGAAGCGUGACGGGACGGACAGCUCAUCCCCCGCUCGAGUGAGGUCAUUGAGGAUGGACGGAUCAUACGCUCCUCCACUCACAUGCAGGCCGCUCGAGGUCAUUAAUGGGCCACGUCCCCGACCCGAAUAAAUGUAGGAACAAAGUCAUCAAAUGAGGAAGAAAGGCAGCAAUUGUCCGCUUUAGCCUGACUUCCUGCAGAUGUAAUCUGUUGCUUAAUAUUUUUUUUAAACUUUUUUAAUAUUUAAAAUUUUUAACUUUAUUCCCUUGUUUUAUACUAACCCAUAGCCUUAUUCUACUAACCCAUUGCAUUAGCAUUUCAUUUUACUUUAUAUUAUUACUUGUGCACUGCUGUCUUGUCUGUCUACUGCCUGCACCAACCGCCAAGACAAAUUCCUUGUAUGUUUGGCAUAUUUUGGUAAUAAAUGCUUCCUGAUUCCUGAUCAUUAAUCAUGGACUUCAAGGUCUGACAAAAGAAAAAUUAAGGUAAUUUGGAAGACGUUUUUUUUCGUCCCAGAUGAAAAUUGAAUGUGUUCAUUACACAUAUGAACUCAGGAAAGUUCAAUCAAUUUUCUUUAACUGUCUUUAACUUAAGUUUAUUGAGAUUGCUCCAACAAAGGAAGCCCAACUCUCUUUUGCUUUGAGCUCCUUUUUCUUCACCACGCGUUGUUGUGGAGAUGCCCUUGUGAGUUGCCAUGUGCUGUCGCGUUUUAAUCAUUGUAAUUUUUGCAUUCCAUGUCAUAGUAGCUUGAUGAAAUGAUCCCUUCAGCACUCCUUAGCUACACGAGUCAACAACUCUUGUAUUGUUCUGUUACACUGGAAGAUCAAAAUUGGACUUCCUUGUUUAGUUUCAUUUAGCUUCAGUGUGGAAAAUCCCAUGUGAUUCCUUGGUUCAAAUCAGGUGGUACAGUCACAUGGGAAGCAUGUUGGCUUGAAAAUGUGGUUUAUAAACAUUUUCCAACGGCAGUGUGGUAAGAUGACCAGUAUGUGGUAAAAGUGGGGAAUACACACAUUGGAUUUUUUUUGCCACGAAUUAGCAAAUCAAAUUCUCAAUUUCAACGUCCGUAUGGGCGUAAUUAAGCGUUUGAUCCAGCAGCUCACACAAUCAUAAAGUCAAAUUCACUGGCCCAACCUGUUUCAACCAAACAAUUCUCCUUUUCACAGGCCUUUUUUUCAGAGUCUAGUUUCUCUGUUUGACAAUCAAGACACUGAAAAGCCUCCUACUACAAGUAUGUUUGCGCUACAACUCUGUGUGCCGCAGAAUAAGAGCUUGUUGUAGGACGACGCACUCCGGGCCCUCACACGCAUCUCAAUGGGACACUUUGUGUUGUGUCCAUUUCCAUGUGGGGGCUGUCUGAAAGUUUUAUUACCUCCUAACGCAAAGCCCAGGCUUGGUAGCUAAAAAUGCAACGGGCAAGAGUGAAAAAUGAAAAAGAAAAGAAAAUACUGCUAAAGAGGAGGAUACGAGAUCAGAAAUGAUGUAAGAUGAUUAACUGAGACAUAAAUAUGAUUAAUAACUUUUCAUUGUUUCCAUCCCCGUUUCUCUUCCCCUCCGUCUUGUCCUUUCAUCACUUCUCGUUCUGCGACACAAACCCAAACAAACUAAAGAGAGAUUCCAGACCAGACCAGACUGAUAAGAGGGGAAUUCCCACGCUGUGGAUUUCAACGACGCACAUUUGUACGCACACACACACACACACACACACACACACACACACACACACUCGCGCAAAGAGAAAAAUGCACCAUGACUGAGAUGAAAAGCACAUGUUAAGUAUCUAAGUUCAGCAGAGACUUAUUUUCUCAAUAACUUUGGAAACGUGGGGGGGGGGAUGUUUGAUUUACAAGGCGGGAAGUACCUGCAGUGUACAAGUAGUUACAGAGAAGAGACGACUUCUAAAAAUCCCCCCUUUUUCAUGAAUUCUUUAAAGAUGAAUCAACUCAGUCAGGUCAAUGUUGUGAUGAGUUUUUCCCGUAUCUUUGCUCCUGGGACAGAUGAUGUAUGUGUACUGAUUGCAAAGCCCUUUGAGGCAAAAUAGAUGGAAUUGAAUGAAUAGAUUGUCGGGCUGAUCCAACCAAUGGCCGUUGCUCAAUGGAUCACCGGCAGAAUCCCUGUUUCUUUUUGGUACGGCGUGCGUACGUUUACAGGUGUGUGGAAAAAACAGGAAGUAAAGUGAUACGACGGGUGAGACAAUAAAACAGGAAGUAAAGUGAUACAACGGGUGAGAAAAUAAAACAGGAAGUGAACAACGUGACACAGAGCUACAUGCUAAUUAGCUUGUUCACCACAAUGUGGCUCUUUUCUAUUACCGUUAAGUUGUUGAGAGUUGUUGAAAGGCACAUGUGACAGAAUUGAAUGCAGGAAGAGAAUAGAAUGGAAGAGGGGACCUCCUUCUCUUUCUUCUAGGACUGUUCCACUGACCCGUGGCCACAUCUUUUUCUGGCUGUGUUUGUGUUGGCCGUCGGGGAUCCUCCAUGCAGGAUCUUCCAUGAGGGAUCCUCCAUGAGGGAUCCUCCAUGAGGGAUCCUCCAUGAGGGAUCCUCCAUGAAGGAUCCUCCAUGAGGGAUCCUCCAUGAGGGAUCCUCCAUGAGGGAUCCUCCAUGAGGGAUCUUCCAUGUGAAACGUUUAGUAAUAUGUUCCACAGAUGUGAC